GCCACUCCCCAUGAGAUGAGAGCCGCAGCCACAUCCACAUCCACUGCCGCCGCGCUCCUCGCCCCGCGCCUGACGUGCUCCGCCAGCCGCGCCCGCCUCGUCUCCUCCCGCCCCCCCGCUCCGCCGCGUCGCCGCCAUGGCCGCCGCCGCCGCCCCCUCCUCCUUCCGCCCGGAGGAGGCGCGCUCCCCUCCCGCCCUCGAGCUCCCAACUCCGCCUCUAUCCAAGUUCAAGGUGGCGCUGUGCCAGCUCUCGGUGACGGCGGACAAGGCUCGCAACAUCUCGCACGCGCGUGCGGCCAUCGAGGUGGCGGCCACCAAAGGCGCCAAGCUCGUGCUCCUCCCUGAGAUAUGGAAUGGUCCAUAUUCAAAUGACAGCUUUCCAGAGUAUGCUGAGGACAUCGAGGCUGGUGGAGAUGCAGCCCCUUCGUUUUCAAUGAUGUCAGAGGUUGCUCGCAGCUUGCAAAUUACCCUUGUUGGUGGUUCUAUACCUGAACGUUCUGGUAACAGCUUGUACAAUACAUGCUGCGUCUUCGGUUCAGAUGGCAAGCUUAAGGGUAAACAUAGAAAGAUCCAUCUUUUCGACAUUGAUAUUCCAGGGAAGAUUACUUUCAAGGAAUCAAAGACUCUUACUGCUGGGCAGAAUCCUACUGUUGUAGACACAGAUGUCGGCCGAAUUGGUAUUGGUAUAUGCUAUGACAUCCGCUUCCAGGAAUUAGCAAUGCUGUAUGCUGCAAGAGGUGCUCAUUUGUUGUGCUAUCCUGGUGCAUUCAACAUGACUACCGGGCCAUUGCACUGGGAGUUGCUGCAAAGGGCGAGGGCUGCGGAUAACCAGCUGUUUGUUGCAACAUGUGCUCCAGCUCGAGAUGCCAGUGCAGGUUAUGUUGCUUGGGGACACUCCACUCUUGUUGGACCUUUUGGAGAGGUGAUUGCAACAACUGAGCAUGAGGAGGCAACUAUAAUAGCAGAAAUAGACUAUUCAUUGAUUGAGCAGAGGAGGCAAUUUCUUCCUCUGCAAUACCAACGGCGUGGCGAUCUCUAUCAGCUCGUAGAUGUUCAGAGACUGGGUUCUCAGUAGCAAUCUCGUACGGCUUAGUUCGUGAGAUGCACAUGCAUGCCCUUGUCUGGACAGAUCUGAUCGAGCUGGUUUGUGAAGAGAAGAUGAAUAAGGUGACUCAAUAACUUGUAGUACCUUCAUCCUCCCGAGUCGCCAAAGAUGAUUACUCCUGUGUAUUAAGACGAUGUAUUGUCUUCAUGAAACAAAGAUAAUGAAAGAUGUCCCUCUAAUUUCUUUCUUGGCUCAA